rnacentral:rRNA from 1 species
UACAGAGGGCUCGAGCGUUGCGCGGAGUCACUGGGCUUAAAGCGUACGUAGGCGGGCGUGCAGGCAUCGUGUGAAAUCCCCCGACUCAACCGGGGAACUGCUCGGUGAACCGCACGUCUUGAGGUCAGUAGGGGCGGUCGGAACGAUAGGUGGAGCGGUGAAAUGCGUAGAUAUCUAUCGGAACGCCGAAGGUGAAGACAGGCCGCUGGGCUGAUUCUGACGCUGAGGUACGAAAGCGUGGGGAGCAAACGGG